rnacentral:rRNA from 1 species
UACAGAGGGGGCCAGCGUUAUUCGGAAUUAUUGGGCGUAAAGGGCGCGUAGGCGGCCAUGCGUGUCUUCCGUGAAAUCCCUCAGCUUAACUGGGGAACUGCGUCUGAUACUGGAUGGCUUGGAUUCGGGAGAGGAAUGCGGAAUUCCAGGUGUAGCGGUGAAAUGCGUAGAUAUCUGGAGGAACACCGGUGGCGAAGGCGGCAUUCUGGACCGAUAUUGACGCUGAGGAGCGAAAGCCAGGGGAGCAAACGGG